CAAUAGCGUAUAUUUAAGUUGUUGCAGUUAAAAAGCUCGUAGUUGGAUUUCGGUUGAGAACGGCCGGUCCGCCGUUUGGUGUGCACUGGCUGGUCUCAACUUCCUGUAGAGGACGCGCUCUGGGUUAACGCUCGGACGCGGAGUCUACGUGGUUACUUUGAAAAAAUUAGAGUGUUCAAAGCGGGCUUACGCUUGAAUAUUUCAGCAUGGAAUAAUAAGAUAGGACUUUGGAACUAUUUUGUUGGUUUGCGUUACAAAGUAAUGAUUAAUAGGGACAGUUGGGGGUAUUCGUAUUUCGUUGUCAGAGGUGAAAUUCUUGGAUUUCCGAAAGACGAACUACUGCGAAAGCAUUCGGCAAGGAUGUUUUCAUUAAUCAAGAACGAAAGUUGGGGGCUCGAAGACGAUUAGAUACCA
rnacentral:rRNA from 1 species